GAUGAAGAACGUAGUGAAAUGCGAUAAGUAAUGUGAAUUGCAGAAUUCAGUGAAUCAUCGAAUCUUUGAACGCACCUUGCGCCCUUUGGCCAUUCCGAAGGGCCUGCCUGUUUGAGUAUCAUGAACACCUCAACUCUUUAUGGUUUUCCAUGAUGAGCUUGGACUCUGGGGGUUUUGCUGGCUCACAGUCGGCUCCUCUAAAAUGAAUCAGCUUACCAGUGUUUGGUGGGUAUCAUGGGUGUGAUAACUAUCUACGCUUGUGGUUUUUCCACCAGGUAACCUUCAGCAGUGGAGGUUCGCUGGAGCUCAUAGAUGUCUCUCCUCAGUGAGGACAGCCCUUUGAAUGUUUGAUCUCAAAUCAGGUAGGACUACCCGCUGAACUUAAGCAUAUCAAUAAGCGGAGGA
rnacentral:misc_RNA from 1 species